UUAUAAUUUUCUAGUAUUCCUACUAAGUCAAGGGUGCUCUACAACAUGGUGUAGUUGUUUUGGAAGUUUGGAGACUUGUUUCAUUGAUUUGGAAGUGAAGAAGUUAGAAGAAAAAGAUUUUGGAGGAAACGAGAAUUGAAUUUGGACAAUCGUAAAACGUCAAAAAGGUACCGACGUUCGUUGUGCUGAGCCGCCUGUUUAGGACAUCUGCUGUGUUAUUGACAGUGCUCCUUUGUUCGGAGCUUGUAUUUUGGUACUGACUAUAUCUCUGUAUAUUUGUAUAUAUUGG